GUAGGUAGGGACCGCCCCUGCGUAGCCAUUGAAACCCUCUCGCUCGUGUGUCCAAGAGCCGCAGCCCCCCGCGCGUGUGGCGGGCCCUGAGGACCCCAGGUCACCCUGCUGCCCCGGCCCUCCCGCUGCGCGUCAGGCAUAAUGGUUAUGAAAGCUUCUGUAGAUGACGAUGAUUCAGGAUGGGAGCUCAGUAUGCCAGAAAAAAUGGAAAAAAGCAAUACAAACUGGGUGGACAUUACCCAAGAUUUUGAAGAAGCUUGUCGAG